GGACUACUGGGGUAUCUAAUCCCGUUCGCUCCCCUGGCUUUCGCGCCUCAGCGUCAGAAGGGGUCCAGCCCGCCGCCUUCGCCACCGGAGUUCCUAUGCAUAUCAACGCAUUUCACCGCUCCACGCAUAGUUCCGCGGGCCCCUACCCCCCUCGAGGCCGCCAGUAUCCGAGGCCGUUCCACGGUUGAGCCGUGGGAUUUCACCCCAGACUUGGCAGCCCGCCUACGCGCCCUUUAAGCCCAGUGAUUCCGAACAACGUUCGCACGGUUCGUCUUACCGCGGCUGCUGGCAC
rnacentral:rRNA from 1 species